rnacentral:lncRNA from 1 species
UGUACUUACUUGGCUUCUAGCGUCGUCGUCUGGCACUAAACAAAUGUUUGCCUCUUCAUCAGAUUCGCUCAGAUCAGAAAUUAUUUCAUUGUCAUCAUCCCAUGCGAUGUAGUCUUUCUUGUUCUUGAAGGAUUUCUUUUCUUUUACUUCUUCACUCUUCUUUUGAUUUGGGCAGUCCGCUUUUAAGUGCCCCCUUUCUCCGCAACCAUAACAUCUAUAUUUUGAGGAGGAUUCUUGAUUUUCUUUCUUUUCAACUUUGAAUCUUCCUUUAUCUUUUGAUUUCAUGAACCAGUGAGCCUUUUUAUAUCGAGUCUCAUAUUUUCUUCCUCUUUUGAGUCUUCAUCUUCUAUUUUGCUUUUGCUCAUUUCUACCUCAGAUUUUAAGGCCAGACUCUUUUUCUUUGUUUUUGUCAUUGCUUCUUCUUCAUCUAGUCUUCGAAGGUCAAGUUCAUGCUCUCUCAACUUUCCAAAUAAUGCCGAAUAGUCAUUGUGUUGAGAUUUUGUGACUCAGAAAUUGCAGUCACUUUUGGUUGCCAUAACUUGUCUAAAGAUUUCAAAAUUUUUAUAUUAAGUUCAUCAUUUUCAAAUGACUUACCUAGACCAAUGAGAUGAUUGACAAUGUUGGUGAAGCGUUUCUGAACAUUUGAAAUUGUUUCUCCUUGCUUCAUCCUGAACAUUUCGUACUCUUGGAUCAACGUGUUCUUCUCGCCCUCUUAACAUCAUUUGUUCCUUCAUGAGUUACUCUGAGUACGUCCCACAUCUCUUGAGCGGUUUUGCAAACAGAGACCCUGUAAAACUCGUCAACAGUUAGAGCAGAUGCAAUUAUAUUUCGAGCUUUCACGUCAUUUUGAAUUCUUUUCUUCUCUUCAAUGGUCCACUUAUCACGAGGCUUUGGUUCCUGCGAAUCGUUAGUAGGAAUAGGCGAACCAGAUGCAAUAACAUCCCAAAUCUCACAAUCAAUAGACUCAAUAAAAAUUUGCAUUCUAACCUUCCAGAAUGCAUAGUUUUCACUUGUGAAUAAAGGUGGUCUAUUGAUAGAAGCACCCUCUACAAAGGUUUGAUAUGAUCCUGC